rnacentral:hammerhead_ribozyme from 1 species
GUACCGAUGAAGAGUCCCAAACUAGGACGAAACAGCUGUUCAGUAC